rnacentral:rRNA from 1 species
GCAAGUCGAACGGUAACAGGAAACAGCUUGCUGUUUCGCUGACGAGUGGCGGACGGGUGAGUAAUGUCUGGGAAACUGCCUGAUGGAGGGGGAUAACUACUGGAAACGGUAGCUAAUACCGCAUAACGUCGCAAGACCAAAGAGGGGGACCCUCGGGCCUCUUGCCAUCGGAUGUGCCCAGAUGGGAUUAGCUUGUUGGUGGGGUAACGGCUCACCAAGGCGACGAUCCCUAGCUGGUCUGAGAGGAUGACCAGCCACACUGGAACUGAGACACGGUCCAGACUCCUACGGGAGGCAGCAGUGGGGAAUAUUGCACAAUGGGCGCAAGCCUGAUGCAGCCAUGCCGCGUGUAUGAAGAAGGCCUUCGGGUUGUAAAGUACUUUCAGCGGGAGGAAGGGAGUAAAGUUAAUACCUUUGCUCAUUGACGUUACCCGCAGAAGAAGCACCGGCUAACUCCGUGCCAGCAGCCGCGGUAAUACGGAGGGUGCAAGCGUUAAUCGGAAUUACUGGGCGUAAAGCGCACGCAGGCGGUUUGUUAAGUCAGAUGUGAAAUCCCCGGGCUCAACCUGGGAACUGCAUCUGAUACUGGCAAGCUUGAGUCUCGUAGAGGGGGGUAGAAUUCCAGGUGUAGCGGUGAAAUGCGUAGAGAUCUGGAGGAAUACCGGUGGCGAAGGCGGCCCCCUGGACGAAGACUGACGCUCAGGUGCGAAAGCGUGGGGAGCAAACAGGAUUAGAUGCCCUGGUAGUCCACGCCGUAAACGAUGUCGACUUGGAGGUUGUGCCCUUGAGGCGUGGCUUCCGGAGCUAACGCGUUAAGUCGACCGCCUGGGGAGUACGGCCGCAAGGUUAAAACUCAAAUGAAUUGACGGGGGCCCGCACAAGCGGUGGAGCAUGUGGUUUAAUUCGAUGCAACGCGAAGAACCUUACCUGGUCUUGACAUCCACGGAAGUUUUCAGAGAUGAGAAUGUGCCUUCGGGAACCGUGAGACAGGUGCUGCAUGGCUGUCGUCAGCUCGUGUUGUGAAAUGUUGGGUUAAGUCCCGCAACGAGCGCAACCCUUAUCCUUUGUUGCCAGCGGUCCGGCCGGGAACUCAAAGGAGACUGCCAGUGAUAAACUGGAGGAAGGUGGGGAUGACGUCAAGUCAUCAUGGCCCUUACGACCAGGGCUACACACGUGCUACAAUGGCGCAUACAAAGAGAAGCGACCUCGCGAGAGCAAGCGGACCUCAUAAAGUGCGUCGUAGUCCGGAUUGGAGUCUGCAACUCGACUCCAUGAAGUCGGAAUCGCUAGUAAUCGUGGAUCAGAAUGCCACGGUGAAUACGUUCCCGGGCCUUGUACACACCGCCCGUUACACCAUGGGAGUGGGUUGCAAAAGAAGUAGGUAGCUUAACCUUCGGGAGGGCGCUUACCACUUUGUGAUUCAUGACUGGGGUGAAGUCGUAACAAGGUAACCGUAGGGGAACCUGCGGUUG